UUGAACUUGCCCAAGAAUUCCUUGCUCCCAAACCUCAUCUCUCUCUCUCUCUCUCUCUCUCUCUCUCUCUCUCUCACACACACACACACACACUUUCUCUUUCUUAAUUCUUGCAGCAAACCCAUCCGCACCAUUGUUCAUAUUUUUGUUCCUAAAUUAGAUGGGCUGCUGUAUUGCGGCGUCUGACAUUCAAAGAAGAAGAAGAAAGCAAAAAAGGUGGAAUCUUUUGCAUACCCAUAACGCGUUCUUGAGCUACAGUGGGAUCUCUUGAUCCUGAAAUGCCGAUAACAAGAGGGUUCUGUGUAAGUCUCUUUCUUUCUACCGGAAUCAAAAUGUGAGGGUUUCCUCAAAUUUCACGUCUUUACACUCUCUCUCUCUCUCUCUGUGUUUGCGCUUCUUGAAUUGUGAUGAUGGUGGCUGCUGUUUCUGGAGCAGCUUCAACAACCGACCCCCAAAACCCCAAAACCACUAGGCCCCCAUUGUUGCCCUCUGAAAAAGAUAACAGCAAUGGGGUUUCCAAUAAUCUCAAAAAGCCCAAAUCAAGAAUUGUCUCUUCUAGAUACAUGUCCCCUUCAACUUCUUCCACUUCAACUUCCAAUUCAUCUUCACUUUCCUCCUCCUCCUCCUCCUCCUCCUCCUCCUCCUCCUCUUCUAGAAGGUUCCCCUCGCCUGUGGUGUCAAGAAACUCCACCCCUAUGGCGAAUACGCCGGCAUUAGCCUCUAAGAGGUCCGUUUCUGUAGACAGGAGAAGGUCCGUGACUGCCAGGCCUUUGAUUCCUGAUUUUGACCCUAAGAAUGGUGGUGUUUCAGCUGCCACUAAGCUUCUUGUGACCUCGACUAGGAGUUUGUCUGUUUCAUUUCAAGGGGAGGCGUUUUCGUUGCCUAUUAGUAAGACUAAGGUGACCCCUCCUUCCCCUAAUUUGAGUAGUGUGAGGAAGGGGACUCCGGAGAGGAGGAGGGGUAGUACUCCUUCGAGGGGGAAGGCCGAUGUUGUAGGUGGUCAGGUAGAGAGUUGUAAGGUUGUAGAUCAGCACAGGUGGCCAGCUAGGCAUCGGUUGAUGAAUCCCCUUUCGAGGAGUAUGGAUUGUAGUGGCAGUGUUGAGGAGAGCAGUACCCUGAGUGGAUCUGGGAAUGUUGUUCGAUCACUACAGAACUCAAUGAUUGAUGAGAGGAGGUCUUCGCUUGGUGGUAGGGCGAGUCUUGAUUUGGGCCACUCUGAGCUUCCAAAUGUGGCUCAGCGAUCCCCGUAUGGAAAUUCAGUUAAUAAUGAGGCGUUGAUGCCAUGUGACCUCACCACGUCUGAUUCGGAUAGUGUCUCAUCUGGUAGCACUUCAGGAGUUCAAGAAUGUGGCCCGGGUUCCCAAAGGAAAAAUGGGCCUCGUGGGAUUUUUGCAUCAGCGAAAUUUUGGCAAGAAACUAACAGCCGUCUUAGGAGACUGCAGGAUCCUGGCUCACCUUUGUCUACAAGUCCUGGUUCUAAACUGAUUGUGCCGCCUAAGUUGAAAAAGUAUAGUGGUAACGGUUCAAUUAUGUCAUCCCCAAGAACAAUGUCGACUCCUAUUCGUGGUAGUGUUAGGGCUGCAUCUCCUAGCAAGCUUAUGACACCUGUGGGAACGUCUCCAUCCAGGGGAUAUAGUCCAUCUCGCAUCAGAAAUGCUGUUAGCACCAUUAACAACAAUUUCACUGACACGCCCUCGGUUCUUAGUUUUGCUGUUGAUGUACAGAGAGGGAAAGUUGGGGAGAGAAAAAUCUUAGAUGCUCAUUUUUUGAGGCUUUUGUACAACCGGCACUUGCAGUGGCGCUUUGUAAAUGCUAGAACUGAAGCGGUCAUGCAUGUACAGAAAUGCAGUGCAGAGAAGAAUCUGUGGAACGCAUGGAUAACGAGCUCAGAUCUACGUGAUACUGUCGCUAAAAGAAGACACAGAUUGCAGUUGCUUAGACAAAAGUUGAAACUAGCUUCCAUUUUGAAAAAACAAAUGACCUUUUUGGAGGAUUGGGCAUCUUUGGAUGAAAACCACUUGAUUUCUGUGGUUGGAGCUAUUGAAGCUUUGAAGGCUAGCACUCUUCGUCUUCCAGUUGGCGGAGGAGCCACUGCCGACAUCCAAAGCUUGCAGAAAGCUAUCGGUUCAGCUGUUGAAGUCAUGCAAGCAAUGUCAAACUCAGCAUAUUUGCUUCUCCAAACUGUCGAGGAAGUGAGUUGUUUAGUGAGUGAACUGGCGAAAGUAAUGAAAAAGGAGAGAGCUUUGCUUGAGCAAUGUACUGACUACAUUUCCCUUUUAGAAGCCAUGCAGGUUAAAGAAAGUAAUCUAAGAACACACCUAGUACAGUGUAAUAACCGUGUACGGAAGAGCAUGUUCUAAGACAGAUAGAGCUACUGAUUGUAUCUGACUGCGCAUUCUACGUGCUAACUGUGACAUCGGUCGAGCUUUUAGACCUAGUGGAGGCAGCAUCCGAGGUGAUCGAGAGAGGGCAGACGACUGACUGACGACUAAUCUUCGGAGCGACGACAGACUUUCUGGAGCGACAAUAAACACGUUCGCUAGGCUGGACGGACAGGAUGAAGAGAAAAUGGAGCAUUGAAACACCGAACAAAGUCUGCAUACUCUGAUAUGUCACGCUUGAGCUGCAGUCCUCCGCUACAUGAUUUUUUACAUUAGUCAGAAUGGAAGAAAAUGUGGGAGUUAGUUACAACUUCACGUCUCACAACGAGAUAAAAUACAGUCAGGAAUGCAUCAUGUUGCUAAAUCAUAGGGCUAACAUGUGACAGACAUUGACUCUAUGAGUCCAAAUAUAGAGCCCUCUCAAUAUGCAUUGACCCUAUGGAGCUCAGGGCAGUAUUAUUUUCCCGGUCAAGCUCAUUCACGGUAAAGGUUUCCUAUUUACACGAUCAAUCUUAUCUACUCAACUAUGACUUUGAGCUUCUUACAUAGUAUAUUAUGAAUUUUCCCUCUUCCA